rnacentral:miRNA from 1 species
AGGUGGAAUACUUGAAGAAGA